UGUGAAUCGGGAUCUGGAGAAAGAUAACGGGUCCUGGGGAGCCAGAAACGAAAAAUCGCUGUUCUCCGUAUUUGAUGCGCACAUGUCGUGUGUAUUUCGUGUUGCGUUUGCUUAACGAGCAGCGCUUGAUCCCGGGCCCGGCCGAGCCGCCUCUCGUCCCCGUUCGCUGACGGCAGCUCGGUAGCUAGCUGACUGGCCGCUGAUAGUGAUGCAUCAGAGGAAUUAUCCCGGUGUCUCUGACUGAGAUGGAGCCAGCGACGCUCAACUGGAGUUGCUUGCUAGCUAGCUAGCUAGCUAACGGUGCCCGCCGGGAUUCCGUGUACCCGAGCAGACCUGGAUAACGUUAGCUAAAUGGGUGCAGUUUUGUCGCACAGGGUUUGUUGUAACGUUAUCACACGUUUCCACCUCUGUCCGCAGAUUUGAUAGAGACUUUACAAUGCCAACUAGCAAAAAUUGCUAACUUAACCGUUUAGGUUAGCUACACGUGACACAAUUUAUCUCGCUCCAACAAUUAGCUACACCUCUGGCCGUCCUUGGAUGCUUCAGUGACAUUAAUUGGAAGGUGUGUAUCAGGAUGGCACGGCUCUUGGACGGGGCCGGCAAACUGGGCUGGGUUCUCCUCAAGUCUGUGCUCCGCUUCGUGUUUAUGUUCCUCAACAACUGUGCAGCCAUCCCAUCCUACUGCUUAUACCUGCUGCUGCUCCAGCCUCUGAGAAUAUGGGACAGCUCCACUUUCUGGCACAUUGAGGGAAUCAUGUUCAAAUGGUUGCUGGCCAUGGUGUCUUCAUGGGGCUGGAUUGCAGGUUACACAGUAACGGAGUGGGGGGAUGACGUGAGGCCCAUCUCCGAAGAAGAAGCCAUGGUCAUCGUCAACCACCAGUCCACAGGAGACGUGUGCACGCUCAUGAUGUGCCUGCAAGACAAGGGCACGGUGGUACGAAAAAUGAUGUGGUUGAUGGACCAUGUGUUCAAAUACACCAACUUUGGCGUAGUGUCCCUGAUCCACGGGGACUUCUUCAUCAGACAGGGUAAAGCUCACCGAGAUAAGCAGCUGGUCUACCUGAAAGAUCACCUAGACAAAUACUACCACAGCCGUGACAGGAAGUGGAUAGUGCUGUUCCCCGAGGGCGGCUUUCUUCGCAAGAGGCGGGAAACCAGCCAGUUGUUUGCCAAGAAGAACUCUCUCCCCCACCUGACCCAUGUCACGUUGCCUCGUCUCGGGGCCACGCAAAUUAUCCUGAAAACCCUGUCGGCCCAGCAGGAGAAUGGCAGCGUGGGCGGCGACGCUGGGACCCUGAACCAGACAGCUAAUAAACGUAAAGGCCUGCAGUGGGUAAUAGAUGUGACCAUAGCGUACCCCAAAGCAAGACCCAUGGACAUCCAGACUUGGAUCUUUGGCUACAGGCCUCCCACAGUCACACAUGUACAUUACAGGAUGUACCCCAUAAAAGAGGUUCCUGUGGAGGCAGAGGCCCUGACUGACUGGCUGUACAAGAGGUUUGUGGAGAAAGAAGAGCUGCUGGCCCACUUCUACAAGACAGAAUCAUUCCCUCCCCUGGAAGGAAAGAAGGAGGCAGUUUCCCGGCAGAUGACCCUCGAUCCCGUGUGGCUGUGCUUGAUCCAGUCGUUUGCUUUCGCCUCCGGCUACAUGUGGUACAGCGUCCUCCAGUACCUCUACUGCUGUUUAUUUUGAGCGCGCUGACGAGGUCUCUAUCGGACCACUGGAAAAGCCUCAGGAUCAGUUGGUGUGUGGCCCAGCGUCAUACUUGCCCCCCUACGAUGGAUGAAUGUACAUUUGCCACAGUGGAGAGACUUAAUAGGAAACAAAAGAUAAAAACAUAUGAAGACAACGUACACAAACACACACACACAGACGACAGAAACCCAUACAAUAGCAAACCGGUCACAGGCAUAGUUAACUUGCACACAACCCUAACGCCACACACUCGCUCCCAGCGGCCUAGCAGAAUAAUCUCUCACACUCGUCACGACUCACAUUUUGAUGUUUACACGUCCUCAUACACGUAGACACUCACAUGAGUUUUUAUUCAAAGUUAACGAAAUGAGGCUCAGGACUCCUCCAGAAGAUGCUCUGGACUGGACUCUCUCCCCCUCCCAGGCUUUAGCCGUAGUAGUUUUACAGAGUAUAAAGUGUGUAUGGACGUGUGUGUGUGUGUGUGUGUGUGUGUGUGUGUGUGUGCGCGUGUGUGUGUGAGCGUGAGCGAAUCUAUGUGACUAGAAGCAUAAUGUCUGCCCUUAUUCUUCUUCCUGGCGAGAGUCGAAGUCCACUGGACCUCUCUUUCGGCCUGCUGCCCCGUCAGCCGGCUACACCUUCCAGAGCGAGCGGCCGCAUGAACGUUGAGGCGGCGCAGCCGGAUGCUCCUCUGGCCUUCAUUGCACUAAGGAUCCAUACUGCCCUAACUGCUCCCUGCCCCAGGAAAUACUCCUGAACGGUAGCUGUCAAUGUUUUAAUUUUCUUUUAUUUCUCUUCCCUUAACCCGCAUAUCUUCACAACAACGGCCAUUGUAUUUGUUGUUGAUGUCUCUCUCUCUUUUUUUGUUGUCGUUGUUGUCGUCGUCGUUGUUGUUGUUGUCGGGACUAUUUUUCCGUGUCCGCCUGUCUGUUGAGUCAGUAUUGUGAGCUCGCUGAGAAAAGGGGGAUCAUGUUUACACUGGCGGCCCUGCUGAAAGCCUAAAGGGAAGGUGGCUACGAUGUGAUUAAGGAUUGUUUUUAUUUGUUUGUUUCUUUUUUCUUUUUUUUUUUUGUGACAGACCUGAAAGGAGGAAGAGAAGACGUGCCGUAACGCUUAUUUAAAAGCUAACAAAACAAAAAAAAAAAAACAGAACUUGGUGGCAACGCAGGGCAAAGAUUUGCAGUUUGAUCACCUAAAGAGUAACUUCUUGUUCUUCUUUGUGGAUUUCCCCCUUUUCACCUUCUGCUCUCCAACACACACACCAACAUGCACACACACGACCAUGUGCAGCUACACAGCAGAGUAGACGUCUGUCCCGAGGAUCGUCUCAGCGCGACAGACCAAGAAGGCAGAGACUCGUAUUCCCCCAUUGGACUACAUAGUUUUACAAAUAUUUAAGCCAUAUGCUUAGUGUCGUCGGGGUGGGAAAAAGACAUGGAAAAAAAAAAACGACAAAAAAAAAAAAAACGACGUGAUUUUUAUAGGAAGCUACCCUAAUGUUCAGCAUUCUACAAUAGAGAUUUUGGCUUACAGAACUAUAGGUGUCAUUACUGUAAAUUUACAGCAUAACCUGCCUAAGUGAGUGUGUGUGGUUGUCUCCCUCCCCACCCCCCAACCCCCCAUUUUUGAUAUAUACGAUUCAUGUCGUGUUGCUCUGUGACGUCAGAGUGUGGCGGCAGUUUCACCUCCAGUGGUCAGAUUUUAAUUCAUUUUAAGUCACACGAACUGUUCUUGUCCUCAUGUCAUUGGUUUGUUUCAAUCUUGUACAUAAAAGAAAAAAAAAGCAAAAAAAAAAAAAAAAAGCUGAGGAAGAGUUUUUGGAAGCGCGUUUUGGUCCGUGACAAUUUCAGAGAAUUUUAUUUUAAAAUAUGAAUGUUUAACAAAAAAAAGAAGAAGAAGGAGGAACGGAUUCAUUUCUCAGUGUUACCCUGUAUUUGUUUUGACCAGCAAGUUAACGUGUGCUUCGUGACGUUAGAGCUGCUGUCGGUCCGCGUGCACAGCGGCACACGGGCCCACGUUCAAACUUCUACCUUUUGUUGUUUUUUUUGUUUUUGUUUUUUUUGAAUCAUCAGGAUUUAGUGGAGAAACUAUCAAGCCUUACCGGACGUCCUGGUCGACCACAAUCCCCCAAAACAAUGCUGUUUCCUCGCAUUCCCUCUUGUUAAUGAAGACGGUUUCAGGGUGUCGAGCUAAAACUGGGCCAGCGAGGAGGGAAUCACUCGUCACUUACGAGGGAAACUGGCAGGGCCCUGCAAUGACGCAGCUGUUGUCUCUCGAAUGUACUCGUGUCGUGGUUUUGAGGUCGGUUAUUUGUAAUUUGCUUAGCCUGCUUUAACUAUGAAAAUUAUAGAGGAGCAGUAAUUAUCAUUGUCAUAAACUAAUGCAUAAAAGGUGCAUUUUAGUAGUGCUGGCUGCCCUCUGUUGGUAAAAACUGUGUGAAAUGCAAAAAACAAAAAAAAAGGAAAAAAAAAAAGGGCUACCUGACGAGGUAGGUUAAACCGUUUUUAAUCAGACUGUACAUGUGUUUCAUCCCGCGGCCCUUUCAGAUUCCCCUCCAUCGUGAGAGUGACUUGAAAUGAAGCUUCAUCUUUUUUCUUUCUUUUUUUUUUUCCCCCCCCACCUUUUUUUUUUUUUUUUCUUUUUCUUUUAUUGACCAUGUUUCCAAAGAAGGCAGGGAAAUAAUGUUUUCCUAGAUGUGGUUUUAGGAAAUAAACACAAUAGGGAUUUAAAUUAUACUAGAACUGUCUGUAAUUUUCCAUUUUGUACUUCUCCUUUAAUUCCUAGCUACACAGCCAUUUUACAACACAAAAAACUUGUGCUGGAAUAAAACAUCAUAAAGAUC